UAGGGGUAUCGCCUAGAGGCCGAAGGCAUCAGUCUUUGACACUGACAUCGCUGGUUCGAAUCCAGCUACCCCCGCCAU
rnacentral:tRNA from 1 species